rnacentral:rRNA from 1 species
AUUCCAGCUCCAAUAGCGUAUAUUAAAGUUGUUGCAGUUAAAAAGCUCGUAGUUGGAUUUCUGGGCUGAGCGACCGGUCCGCCGCUGUGCGGUGUGUACUCGGGUGCGUCUCGGCUCAUCCUUGCAGGGAACGACAUUCGGCCUUAAUUGGUCGAGGUCGGGAAUUGCAUCGUUUACUGUGAAAAAAUUAGAGUGUUUAAAGCAGGCUUAUGCUGUGAAUACAUUAGCAUGGAAUAAUAAGAUAGGACUUUGGUUCUAUUUUGUUGGUUGGAGGCCAAGGUAAUGAUUAAUAGGGAUAGUUGGGGGUAUUCAUAUUUAAUUGUCAGAGGUGAAAUUCUUGGAUUUAUGAAAGAUGAACUUAUGCGAAAGCAUUUACCAAGGAUGUUUUCAUUG